CAAUCAGACACACCAUGUAUCAGUUUCAGCAAUUUCUAAUGGUAAGUCAAAGAGGAACAUGAAGGAUCCCAGUGGGCAGAGUAAUUCCUUACGACUCCAAACUUCACGGACUCCCGUGUUCCUGAAGAACACGACUGCUUACCGCAGAUGGGAACCAGAACCCUGUAGGUGCUGAGGUCACACCUGGCACAGCAAUAACACAGCAAAAAGCUCAAUGAACAUCCCACAUUCUGCAGCAACACUUCACCUAAGUAUCCACUUUGGGGAAACAUUCUUUCCUAAAGGCGGAGGCAGGUCGGAAUUUCCUCACGGCAUGUUCCAAACUCAGAGUAGAGCUGCUCAUGUGUAAACAAGAAGAAGAGAGAGGCCAGUAAAGGCAAACCCACUAGAGAAACACUUCACCGGCCUGUACACCACCCCGGCUUCUGAGAGGAGGAAAAGCACCUUCAGAGCAGAUGAACUUGUAUUCAGCAUGAAUAUAUCACAUGAAAAUGGAACCGCUCUCCUUGGAACAUCAGGAAUCCCGCUCAUCCCCGCAAUGCCUCUUCCCACACCUACCUCUGAUCUGGUUCGCCGGAAUAUUAGCACACACCUGAUCCUUUUCCCUCUACUUAAGCUCCUCUCUGUCACAGUCGCGUCUUGAAGUAUUGCCAAUCUGAUGUUGCGUACCAAGCAGUUCAGGUAGUUUUGUCUUCCUGGUUUUCGACUCCUGCCUGUGUUUCAGACCUCGUCUUCUGUCUGACCCCUGGGCACCCGCCAGUCCUCUGCCCCGUGUUAACGACCUUGAACCACCCGGACUACGAAUACCUGAUCUGUUUGAUUUCUCUAAUAAAACCUCUUGCGAUUAGAUCCAUUUCCUUGCGCCUGUGUGUGCUCCUCUGCAUGUCACAGUUGGCCCCUCCUGUCUCCAUGGUUACCUUGUCUCAUGUCUUUGUUUUGAUUUACUUCCUUGUUGUGGUUCCGUUGCUUAGUUUCAUUAUCUCCGCCCCUCAUGAGUUGCACCUGUAUCUAGUUAAGUCUUAUUAGUACAUGUAUUUAAACCCCACCAUGUUGCCUGUGUGUUGGCUGGUCAUUGUUAAUCCAAACCUCCAUGUAUGUAAUACUAAACUGUGUGUAAAAUCUGUUUGUAAUUCCUAAUUGAUCGUGAUUCCUAGCUGUGUGUUAAUUCUAGCCUGCUCCCUUUUUGUCGUAGUGUGUUUUGUUUAAGAUGACCUUGGACUGUACUGUCUCUGA